AAAUUUUGCUAAAUUAUGCGGGGUGCAUAAAACCACUGGGGCCGUUAAAUCCAAGAAUUUACUUUUUUUUUUUAGCCGUCAUGGCAGGCCUUAACGCUAUUUAGACGAGGUAGUGUGAAGUCUCCUCUGAGUGACUGCUUUGAUAGUGGAAGCAGACUUUGUGCUGUUGAGGCUAGAGAGGUGAGCAGAGUAAGCCUGAUUCACCGGACUUCUCUGUUGACAUCCACCCCUUGGUACUCAUAUGACCUUGUGCAGUUUCGAGCAUUGUAAAACCUUAUUAAGUUCUGUGUGUCCUGGCGGUUCUCCUUUUCGCCUUGAUUGACAGGUUCGCCUUGAUUGACAGGUCUGUCUUGUCUUGGUUGACAGGUUCGCCCUGUCUUGAUUGACAGGUUCGUCCUGUCUUGAUUGACAGCUUCGCCUUGAUUGACAGCUUCGUCUUGUCUUGAUUGGUUCGCCUUGUCUUGCGCCUCAUCUUGAUUGAUAGGUUUUUCCUUGUAGGUGGAACGAGACUGGCGUCUGUGGUGUAGAGGUUAGUGACCUUACCAUUGUACACAGAGUACCCGAGUUCGAUUCCCAUGUGGGGAGAAUGUUUAUUGAGUAUCAAUCAUGUAGGCCUACAGUCUUCCCUCAGCAUCACUGGACUCGUCCCCACAGGGCUGGCCCAUACAGGAAGGGAGGACGCCCGCCUCUUAGAUAAACUGACUUGUGUCAUUGUGAGCGUAAAACACAUAAUAUAUGUAUAAAAUAUUUUUUUAAAAAGAAGGAACAAGAAAUGUUGUGUUGUUAAUUUACACUUUGCCCUCUUGGAUUUCUACUUUUUUGUGUUUUUUGUGUUUUUAUUUUAUUUUUUGUUUCCAAUAAAGGGCAGGAUUUUUUAUACUCCA